UGGCGAACGGGUGAGUAACACGUGGGUGAUCUGCACUGCACUCUGGGAUAAGCCUGGGAAACUGGGUCUAAUACCGGAUAGGACCAUGCUUUAGUGUGUGUGGUGGAAAGUUUUUUCGGUGUAGGAUGAGCCCGCGGCCUAUCAGCUUGUUGGUGGGGUAAUGGCCUACCAAGGCGGCGACGGGUAGCCGGACUGAGAGGUUGGUCGGCCACAUUGGGACUGAGAUACGGCCCAG
rnacentral:rRNA from 1 species